UGGCGGUCUUAGACCGGGCUGUUGGGCGUAGCCUAUAACCCCAAACUCGUCCUUAUGGGGGGGUUGAAGCCUGGUGGGCGGGCGCCUAUUUCAAGUAUUGGUCCAGGCGUGUCUUGCCGACCUCCUGCCCCACUGGAUCUGCCGUCUUCGACACCGGGUCAGGCCCUGACGGGAGCAGCCCACUCUUAGAUGCAUCAAACACUUUCGGGUGUUUGUGUUGCAGAUGCUUGUGGAACUUGCGGGAGCGAGAGGCAUGUUUGGGUAUAGCCAGUAUUUGUUUUAGCGUUCCACCACCGGGCGUGUCCGCCA
rnacentral:SRP_RNA from 1 species